UACGUAGGGAGCAAGCGUUGUCCGGAAUCAUUGGGCGUAAAGCGCGCGUAGGUGGCCCGGUAAGUCCGCUCUGAAAGUCACAGGCUCAACCUAUGAAAGCGGGUGGAUACUGCCGGGCUAGAGUCCGGAAGAGGCGAGUGGAAUUCCUGGUGUAGCGGUGGAAUGCGCAGAUAUCAGGAGGAACACCAACGGCGAAGGCAGCUCGCUGGGACGGUACUGACACUGAGGCGCGAAAGCGUGGGGAGCGAACAGG
rnacentral:rRNA from 1 species